rnacentral:lncRNA from 1 species
CUAUCCUUAACUUUUAAAAGGAAAAAAAAACCCCAAUCGAAUCGAGUAAAAAUAAUCCUCCCCUUUUGUGCCGCGGAGCUUCGGCGAGGUUGGGUUCACCCUGGCCUUGCCCGACCGGCUGCAGCCGGCGCGCUCCGCCAUCCGGAGGGUGGCUCCAUUCAGGCGAGCGCUCCGACGUCCCUCCCUCCCCUUCCCUCUCUUUUCUUUCCCUCGGCCAGGCGCUUUUUUCGGGGGCUCCCCGUGGCGGAUGUGUGUGGAGAAUGGGGGUUAGCAGGGUUGGGCGAGCCCGAGCUGCCGUGCGCCCUAGGCGCGGAGGGGGAGGCGCUCCCCGGGGGUCUGGGCGCUGGUGGUGGUGGAGGAAAAGGAGGCGGCGGCAGGAGCCGGAGCCGCCAGGACGUGCUGCCCUCCCUCGGCUCUGCCUGGACGCCCCCAGCCGGGCAUUCAUUUCUCCCUCCCGCCAGCCAGCCAGCCAGCCAGCGUGCCAGCCUUCCCCGCCCCCCUUCCCUCCGAUGGGGCUGCUGCUGCAGCGGCUCCUCUCCGGCUCCUGCUCCUCCUCCCCACUCGCGCCUGCCGCCGCCGCCGCCACAACGAGGCGGGCUCGUCUCAUCCUUAUUAACCGCCUCAGCGAGGUCGCACCGACGGAGAGAAAAGAGAGACGCGGAACUCGCACGCUACCCGCACCGUGCUCCACAAACGCCGGGCCCUGGGUCGCGUUCCUCCGCCGCUGACGGAGGCGGGAUCCGCUGCGUCGCCUGCGGUACCGGGCGGAGGAGAGGGACCGGACCUCGCGCCCUGGCUCUCCCCGUCGGUGAUCGGGGAAGGUUGUUGCUGCGCUCGCCGCGGGAGGGAAGGGGAGACGCGAGCCCGCCCGCGUUCCCGAGGCGCCUGCCUGCCUGCCUGCCCGGCGGGGAUCCGGAACGACCUACUCUCCAGAGGUGGCUGCUUGCUUUGGGGAGGCGGCGGGAAACGGGGAGAGGGAUCCAAAGAGCAUGGGUGGCCAGGAGGGGAAAGGAGAAGCAUUUGGAUCGAAGGGAUAGCGUUGGGAAUAAGGACGAUUUGCGGAAGCCAACCGUCUCUCCCUCCCGAUUAUUUUUGGGGAGGGAAGGGGAGAGACCAGCGGGGGGAAAAAGGGUUUUUCCCGGGAUAACAAAAGAGGUUGCAUUUUUAGGACGUUUGUGUUUCUCGAAAGAGAGCGGUGGAUCCUAA